rnacentral:rRNA from 1 species
GUGAGGAAUAUUGCGCAAUGGGCGAAAGCCUGACGCAGCCAUGCCGCGUGAAUGAUGAAGGUCUUAGGAUUGUAAAAUUCUUUCACCGGGGACGAUAAUGACGGUACCCGGAGAAGAAGCCCCGGCUAACUUCGUGCCAGCAGCCGCGGUAAUACGAAGGGGGCUAGCGUUGCUCGGAAUUACUGGGCGUAAAGGGAGCGUAGGCGGAUAGUUUAGUCAGAGGUGAAAGCCCAGGGCUCAACCUUGGAAUUGCCUUUGAUACUGGCUAUCUUGAGUAGGGAGGAGGUAUGUGGAACUCCGAGUGUAGAGGUGAAAUUCGUAGAUAUUCGGAAGAACACCAGUGGCGAAGGCGACAUACUGGUCCAUUACUGACGCUGAGGCUCGAAAGCGUGGGGAGCAAACAGGAUUAGAUACCCGAGUAGUCC